rnacentral:rRNA from 1 species
AAUAUUGGACAAUGGGGGCAACCCUGAUCCAGCCAUGCCGCGUGUGUGAAGAAGGUCUUCGGAUUGUAAACCUCUUUCAGUAAGGACGAAGCGAAAGUGACGGUACUUGCAGAAGAAGCGCCGGCUAACUUCGUGCCAGCAGCCGCGGUAAUACGAAGGGUGCAAGCGUUAAUCGGAAUUACUGGGCGUAAAGCGCGCGUAGGUGGUUUGUUAAGUUGGAAGUGAAAGCCCUGGGCUCAACCUGGGAACUGCUUUCAAAACUGGCAAGCUAGAGUAUGGCAGAGGGUGGUGGAAUUUCCUGUGUAGCGGUGAAAUGCGUAGAUAUAGGAAGGAACACCAGUGGCGAAGGCGACUACCUGGACUGAUACUGACACUGAGGUGCGAAAGCGUGGGGAGCAAAC